CCUGGAGGCCAGGGGCGAAAGUGGGUCCCACUGCGGGAUCCUUUCUCUCCUAUCCGAGCCCUCAGGGUCCCUAGAGGACCCAUGACCCUCAACAAAGCAGCCCUUACUGAUGGUUUGGUGAGACACUUGCCACCGUCCUCCCUGGGUGGGUACCUGACCACUUACACAGGCUUCCUCGCGGGAACUUAAGAGCAGCUUCCUGGGUCACACCAUGAACCCACAGGGUUAACAUCUCUGUUGGUCUGAUGUCCUAUGUGUACACAAGCUUGAGACCCUGCUCGACUCUGGGCUUCUUCAAUGCUACUCAUUUGGGAUCCAGGGUCCAGCUCACUGCAGGUGCUCCUGCCUCUGCUGCCUUCUCAACCUGGCUCUCUCACCUACCAGCUGUGCAGCCUUGGGCUAAUUAUUUAACCUCUCUGAAACUCAGUUUCCUCAUUGGCAUGUGGGGACAAUACAAAAAUCUUGCUUCACAGGGUUGCUAUGUGAAUUGAAUGAAACCACAUGUUAGGGGUUUAGAACAGUCCUGGGACAAAAUAAGCACUCAGCAAAUAUUUGCUGAUGUUGACUGUUGUUAUUUGCUCAAGAAAUAUGUUUACAUUUAUAGACUGGUGGGAAAAAAAGUGCUUCCAGCCACCUCAUCUCCUCUCAUCCCUGCCCGGUCCUAUGCAACAGGGAAGUGAAUGUUCUUUUGCAAAGAAGACUCUGAGAGGUGAAGUCACUUGUUCAGGGUCACCCAACUGACAGCAUGGGCAUUACACACAGAAGGGACAGUCCAUACUCCCAUCUGCAGAAGGCUGUGCUGAACAAUGGGUUCCGGAUGUCAGUCUCCUUGAAAGUGGUGAGGAUUAAGUGAGAUGACCAGAAUGAAAAAGCCCAGAAAGUUCUGCAAAUGUUGGGGUCAACACAGCUCUUAUUUAGUGCUGGAUGUCUCCCUCUGAGUGUUCCCAGCCCCCAGAGAUUCACAGGCCUCUCCCAGCAGAAAGAAGGAGAUGGUGUGAUAAGGCCAAGAGCCUUCUCUGAGGAGACCUCUAAAGGAGGUAUCUAAGAAGUCUGGAAAAGAAGUAUCUGCAGUGGGCAGAGGCUCCAGAAGUCUUCCUGGAUUCCAGGUUGGCCUGAGGGUAAGUAGAGACCAUGACCCUUUCCACACCGGCAGCCAUUUAUAAAGCACCGGAAGUAUACGCAGAUCCCUUAGCAUGAGCAGCUCAGUUAAUCUCGGGAAGAACGUGUGGUUGUUGAACCAUUUUCUAGAUGAGACAGAUGAGAAGGUAACUUGCCUGAGCGGGGUUCUGAUCCGUGCUGCUGACCCUGAAGGCCAUACCCUUAGUCCCACACCGUCCGCCUUCGGCUCUAGGUGGCUGUUAAGGGUGCAGACAGCCCUGUACUGUCUCAAAGCCCUACUGAUUCUGGGUUCUACAUCACUGGAGAACUCAAGGCCCCUGUCUCAGAGCCGUGACAACUGAUGCCAAUGAGGCAGGCAAGGGCAAGAGCAUGGGCCACAGGCCCGGGCAUCAGGGUAAAGGCCUUCACUCCCAGCCUAAGGCUAUGGCCACGAGAAACGCUCUGACACUGACGUGGAGAACAAGAAGUCUGCAUCCCGGGCACUGCUGUUUGGAGCGAGGGCUGGCUGAAUUUAUUCUGGGAAGGAAUGUGAAGGAAACAGGGAGAAAAAUCAAAGCGGUCUUGGUUUUUCUCCAGCACCUGCCUUCCAAGAGGCAAUAAGCAUGGGAAGAUCAUUAUCUCACCAGCCACCCACCCUCGAGGCUUGGCAGGGACAGACUCUCCUUCCCAGGGGGGAGGGAGGAGGAGGGACAGCUUGGGGAGGAGAGUCCCACAGUCCCGAUUCCUGUGCUCCAGUGUGGAGAUCUGGCUGACCCCUGGGGCAGAGAUGGCCGGUGGUCACAGGUCUCUCAGCACAUGUUUUGGAACCCAUUUUUUAGUCCCUUGUGUCUAGCUGGGGCCCCAUGACUAGUUCUUGCCUGUAGAAUGUGAAUGAAAGUGAGGCUUGUCCAGAGGUGAGGGGAGGUGGUUCAGAGCAGCUUCUCUUCUUCAUCCUCCCUUUCCUCACCUGGUGGCCAGUUGCUCAGGAGCUAGGGGGAGAUCUCUGAGGCCCUGGGAAAGACUGAGUCAAGAUGGCAGGAGCCCAGAUCCCUGAAUGACUAUGUGGGUCCCCCCCACCCCCACUAACCUGGUAUGCCCUGAGCAAGAAAUAAAUCUUUGUGUUAAGCCA